rnacentral:tRNA from 1 species
GGGCGAUUGGCGCAGCUGGUAGCGCGCUUCGUUCACACCGAAGAGGUCAUGGGUUCAAGUCCCGUAUCGCCCA